CCUACGGGAGGCAGCAGUGGGGAAUAUUGGACAAUGGGCGAAAGCCUGAUCCAGCCAUGCCGCGUGUGUGAAGAAGGCCUUCGGGUUGUAAAGCACUUUCAGUGGGGAAGAAAGCCUUGGGGCUAAUACCCUCGAGGAAGGACAUCACCCACAGAAGAAGCACCGGCUAACUCCGUGCCAGCAGCCGCGGUAAUACGGAGGGUGCGAGCGUUAAUCGGAAUUACUGGGCGUAAAGCGCGCGUAGGCGGUCUGAUAAGCCGGUUGUGAAAGCCCUGGGCUCAACCUGGGAACGGCAUCCGGAACUGUCAGGCUAGAGUGCAGGAGAGGAAGGUAGAAUUCCCGGUGUAGCGGUGAAAUGCGUAGAGAUCGGGAGGAAUACCAGUGGCGAAGGCGGCCUUCUGGACUGACACUGACGCUGAGGUGCGAAAGCGUGGGUAGCAAACAGGAUUAGAUACCCUAGUAGUC
rnacentral:rRNA from 1 species